ACGACUCUCGGCAACGGAUAUCUCGGCUCUCGCAUCGAUGAAGAACGUAGCGAAAUGCGAUACUUGGUGUGAAUUGCAGAAUCCCGUGAACCAUCGAGUCUUUGAACGCAAGUUGCGCCCAAAGCCGUCAGGCCGAGGGCACGUCUGCCUGGGCGUCACGC
rnacentral:rRNA from 1 species